CAAUACGACUCUCGGCAACGGAUAUCUCGGCUCUCGCAUCGAUGAAGAACGUAGCGAAAUGCGAUACUUGGUGUGAAUUGCAGAAUCCCGUGAACCAUCGAGUCUUUGAACGCAAGUUGCGCCCCAAGGCUUCAGGCCGAGGGCACGUCUGCCUGGGUGUCACGC
rnacentral:rRNA from 1 species